rnacentral:rRNA from 1 species
GAUGAACGCUGGCGGCGUGCCUAAUACAUGCAAGUCGAACGGACAGACGAGGAGCUUGCUUCUCUGAUGUUAGCGGCGCACGGGUGAGUAACACGUGGAUAACCUACCUAUAAGACUGGGAAAACUUCGGGAAACCGGAGCUAAUACCGGAUAAUAUUUUGAACCGCAUGGUGCAAAAGUGAAAGACGGUCUUGCUGUCACUUAUAGAUGGAUCCGCGCUGCAUUAGAUAGUUGGUAAGGUCACGGCUUACCAAGGCAACGAUGCAUAGCCGACCUGAGAGGGUGAUCGGCCACACUGGAGCUGAGACACGGUCCAGACUCCUACGGGAGGCAGCAGUAGGGAAUGUUCCGCAAUGGGCGAAAGCCUGACGGAGCAACGCCGAGUGAGUGAUGAAGGUCUUCGGAUCGUAAAACACUGUUAUUAGGGAAGAACAGAUGUGUAAGUAACUGUGCACAUCUUGACGGUACCUGAUCAGAAAGCCACGGCUAACUACGUG